rnacentral:rRNA from 1 species
CUGCGGUCUUAUUUUGUUGGUUUCUAGGACCGAAGUAAUGAUUAAUAGGGAUAGUUGGGGCCGUUUGUAUUCCGUUGUCAGAGGUGAAAUUCUUGGAUUUACGGAAGACAAACUUCUGCGAAAGCAUUCGGCAAGGAUGUUUUCAUUAAUCAAGAACGAAAGUUAGGGGAUCGAAGACGAUCAGAUACCGUCGUAGUCUUAACCAUAAACUAUGCCGACUAGGGAUCAGUGGACGUUGUUUUACGACUCCAUUGGCACCUUGUGAGAAAUCAAAGUUUUUGGGUUCCGGGGGGAGUAUGGUCGCAAGGCUGAAACUUAAAGGAAUUGACGGAAGGGCACCACCAGGAGUGGAGCCUGCGGCUUAAUUUGACUCAACACGGGGAAACUCAC